UACGGAGGGUGCAAGUGUUAUCCGGAUUCACUGGGUUUAAAGGGUGCGUAGGUGGGCAGGUAAGUCAGUGGUGAAAUCUCCGAGCUUAACUCGGAAACUGCCGUUGAUACUAUUUGUCUUGAAUAUUGUGGAGGUAAGCGGAAUAUGUCAUGUAGCGGUGAAAUGCUUAGAUAUGACAUAGAACACCAAUUGCGAAGGCAGCUUACUACACAACGAUUGACGCUGAGGCACGAAAGCGUGGGGAUCAAACAGG
rnacentral:rRNA from 1 species